rnacentral:tRNA from 1 species
ACCUGGGUGGCGGAAUUGGUAGACGCGCCGGACUUAAAAUCCUGUGAGAAGUAAUUCUCGUACGGGUUCAACUCCCGUCCCGGGUA